GGUAUAAUGGCUGAUUAUAGGCGGUAAAUUGUAAAUUUAUUAAUGGAAUAAUAAUCCUUCUACCA
rnacentral:tRNA from 1 species